AGGGCACCACCAGGAGUGGAGCCUGCGGCUUAAUUUGACUCAACACGGGAAAACUCACCCGGCCCGGACACCGUAAGGAUUGACAGACUGAGAGCUCUUUCUUAAUUCGGUGGGUGGUGGUGCAUGGCCGUUCUUAGUUGGUGGAGCGAUUUGUCUGGUUAAUUCCGAUAACGAACGAGACUCUGGCCUAUUAAAUAGACGGUAUAUCGAAAAGUAUAUCGCACUUCUUAGAGGGACAAGCGGCGUCUAGCCGCAUGAAAUAGAGCAAUAACAGGUCUGUUAUGCCCUUAGAUGUCCGGGGCUGCACGCGCGCUACACUGAAAGAAUCAGAGUGCGCUUUGCCUAGUUCGGAAGAACUGGGUAACCCAAGUAAAUUCUUUCGUGCUUGGGAUAGGGAAUUGCAAUUAUUUCCCUUAAACGAGGAAUUCCCAGUAAAUGCGGGUCAUAAGCUCGCGUUGAUUACGUCCCUGCCCUUUGUACACACCGCCCGUCGCUACUACCGAUUGGAUGACUUAGUGA
rnacentral:rRNA from 1 species